AAUCUCUUCCAAAUGGCUGUGCUGCUUUUCAGCAUUACUGUAAGAACAUCUACUGACUGGAGUAUAUGACUUUUCCUUCUUCUAAGAAAAGGAUGCUAACAGUUUUUUCACCUGUUGCAUUUAUGAUUGCUGUUACUGCUUGGGUCUUAUGGAAGAAGAUUGCUUGUUAUGAGGACUCUGUAAAGUUAAAAAAUACAUGUGAAAGAAAUUUAAAUGCCCCAAAAUUUUCAUCAUAUUUAUAAUCUUACAUAUUUAUAAAGACUAUCUUGAUUUAUUGAUUGAAUAUGUAUACAGGUUUUUGUUUCCUUUUUUCCCAUGCUGUAAAAUUCAGUUAAGGAGUGAAUCAUCCAAGCCUCUGCCUGUUUUUUCUUUGAUCUUUAGUCGUUUAUUGGCUGAUAAUGAGGUGUUUAGAGAAAAAAUAAAAUGAGAUGAAAUGU
rnacentral:lncRNA from 1 species